rnacentral:rRNA from 1 species
AGAACGAACGCUGGCGGCGUGGAUAAGACAUGCAAGUCGAACGGAGAUUCUUUGGAGCUUGCUUUAAAGGGUCUUAGUGGCGAACGGGUGAGUAACACGUGAGUUACCUGCCCCGAAGUGGGAGAUAGCCCGGAGAAAUUCGGAUUAAUACCCCAUGUGAUCGUAAGAUUAAAGGCGGCGCAAGCUGUCGCUUCGGGAUGGGCUCGCGGCCUAUCAGCUAGUUGGCGGGGUAACGCCCACCAAGGCGAUGACGGGUAGCUGAUCUGAGAGGAUGAUCAGUCACACUGGAACUGAGACACGGUCCAGACACCUACGGGUGCAGCAGUCGAGAAUCAUUCGCAAUGGGCAAAGCCUGACGGUGCGACGCCGCGUGGAGGAUGAAGGCCCGUCGGGUACGUAAACGUCCUGUCAUCGAGGAGUAAGUGGCUCGACGAAGUAACGUACGUCGCGGUC